GGAAUUAUUGGGCGUAAAGCGUCCCGCAGGCGGCCCUUCAAGUCUGCUGUUAAAAAGUUGGAGCUUAACUCCAUCAUGGCAGUGGAAACUGUUGGGCUUGAGUGUGGUAGGGGCAGAGGGGAAUUCCCGGUGUAGCGGUGAAAAUGCGUAGAUAUCGGGAAGAACACCAGUGGCGAAGGCGCUCUGCUGGGCCAUCACUGACGCUCAUGGACGAAAGCCAGGGGAGCGAAAGGGAUUAGAUACCCCUGUAGUCCUGGCCGUAAACGAUGAACACUAGGUGUCGAGGGAAUCGACCCCCUCGGUGUCGUAGCCAACGCGUUAAGUGUUCCGCCUGGGGAGUACGCACGCAAGUGUGAAACUCAAAGGAAUUGACGGGGGCCCGCACAAGCGGUGGAGUAUGUGGUUUAAUUCGAUGCAACGCGAAGAACCUUACCAGGGUUUGACAUCCUGCGAAUCUCUUGGAAACAGGAGAGUGCCUUCGGGAACGCAGUGACAGGUGGUGCAUGGCUGUCGUCAGCUCGUGUCGUGAGAUGUUGGGUUAAGUCCCGCAACGAGCGCAACCCACGUCUUUAGUUGCCAGCAUUUAGUUGGGCACUCUAGAGAGACUGCCGGUGAUAAACCGGAGGAAGGUGUGGAUGACGUCAAGUCAUCAUGCCCCUUACAUCCUGGGCUACACACGUACUACAAUGCUACGGACAAAGGGCAGCAAGUUCGCGAGGACAAGCAAAUCCCAUAAACCGUGACUCAGUUCAGAUCGUAGGCUGCAACUCGCCUACGUGAAGGCGGAAUCGCUAGUAAUCGCAGGUCAGCAUACUGCGGUGAAUACGUUCCCGGGCCUUGUACACACCGCCCGUCACACCAUGGAAGUUGGCCACGCCCGAAGCCGUUACUCCAACCCUUGUGGCGAGACUCGAAGGUGGGGCUGAU
rnacentral:rRNA from 1 species